rnacentral:lncRNA from 1 species
CACUUGGCAAUUGAUGGCACUGGUGGGGUUGAAGCCUCACAGCUCAUGGUGUGUUCUCAUUCUCUGUGUGCUUUUCCUGGUGCACUGAAGCUCCCAUGCUCUCCUGCAGCAGAAGUCUGGAAUUUGCCCUGCCAGAUCUGCUUGAGGUGGAAUGUGGAGCUCUGGAACAGCAGUGGUAGGUGGCUUGCCUGUAUUCCCUUCCAGCUUUUCCAGAUGAUAAUUCCCUGCUUCCACCUGGCUCUAGGAGUCAUUAGUGGGUGACAGCUCUCUGAAGCAUCCAUAGAGCUCCUCUGCCCUUCCUGUUUGAACUGCAUGUUUCAGAUGUGUUAUCAAGACAUUGCCAUUGUGCAGAUACAGAUUAGUUCUUGAGACUGAUUUUUCUGCUUCACCAGUUCUUUUGUAGCUGCCAGAACUAAUUGCUUACAUUACAUUACCAGUCUGGGCCUCUAUCACUCCCUGGAUGAUGCCAUCCGUUGGAAUACAGCUGCAUACUUAAAUGCACUUCUUAACUAUAUUUUACCAUUUCUGCCCAUGUUUGCAACUGACAGAAUUGUCCCUGAUUUUUUUCGCUGACCCCCACUACGUGCUAGAAAUUGUAUAAUAGCUGAACUGAUUCACUUGCCAUUUCUACCUCUAGAAUUUCCAGAUUUUUCCGAUUUAAUGGGAGUUUAACAAAACUAUGUAUAAAUUCUGUCUACAAAUAAUCUUUCCUUUCUGAGACUGGGUAAAGUUGCUCAGAAGUAACAUUGUAGUGACUGUUGAUACUCAGAAAACUUAAAGCUUCCGAAAGGCAGAAUGAAAAUGUGGAAGUGCAUCAAAGCCUAUCCCUCUUGCAUAGUAAAAGGGUUUUUUUUUUUAUUGUCCAGCUGUAUUGAAUCUUCAUUCCAAGACAUAAAAACCUCUAUAUCCACUAACUGUGCUGUGCUGUCACACCAACACUGGCUGUCACUACAAAUUCCUGGAUGGUGCCUGUGCAUUCAAAUACUCAGGUUAUGUGGACAUCAGCUGACCUUUUCUUCUGAAGAGAGAACAUCACAGUUCUGCAUACUACCCAAUACUUGUUAA